rnacentral:rRNA from 1 species
UACGAAGGGGGCGAGCGUUGUUCGGAUUUACUGGGCGUAAAGGGCGCGCAGGCGGUUCUGUUUGUCGAGUGUGAAAGCCCCGGGCUCAACCUGGGAACUGCGCUCGAAACGGCGGAACUAGAGUUCGGGAGAGGGAUGCAGAAUUCCAGGUGUAGCGGUGAAAUGCGUAGAUAUCUGGAGGAAUACCGGUGGCGAAGGCGGCAUCCUGGACCGACAUUGACGCUGAGGAGCGAAAGCCAGGGGAGCAAACGGG